rnacentral:tRNA from 1 species
GAUUUACUGGUGUAAAGGUAACACACUUAGUUGUGUUAACAAAGGGAUGUGGGUUCAACUCCCACGCAGAUAG